UACGGAGGGGGCUAGCGUUGUUCGGAAUUACUGGGCGUAAAGCGCGCGUAGGCGGAUCUGCAAGUCGGGGGUGAAAUCCCGAGGCUCAACCUCGGAACUGCCUUCGAUACUGCGGGUCUCGAGUCCGGGGAGAGGUGAGUGGAAUUCCUAGUGUAGAGGUGAAAUUCGUAGAUAUUAGGAAGAACACCAGUGGCGAAAGGCGGCUCACU
rnacentral:rRNA from 1 species